UACGUAGGCAGCAAGCGUUGUUCGGAGUUACUGGGCGUAAAGGGUGUGUAGGCGGUUGUUUAAGUUUGGUGUGAAAUCUCCCGCUCAACCGGGAGGGUGCGCCGAAUACUGAAUGACUAGAGUGCGGGAGUGGAAAGUGGAAUUCCUGGUGUAGCGGUGAAAUGCGUAGAUAUCAGGAGGAACACCGGUGGUGUAGACGGCUUUCUGGACCGUAACUGACGCUGAGACACGAAAGCGUGGGUAGCAAACAGG
rnacentral:rRNA from 1 species